AGCUCCAAUAGCGUAUAUUAAAGUUGUUGCAGUUAAAAAGCUCGUAGUCGAAACUCGGGCGUCGCGGGCGGUCCGCCUCACGGCGAGUACUACCCUGCGUCGUCUUACCUCUUGGUGAGCCCGUCUGCCUUUACUGGUGGGCGGAGGAACCAGGACUUUUACCUUGAGAAAAUUAGAGUGUUCAAAGCAGGCUUAUGCCCGAAUACAUUAGCAUGGAAUAAUAGAAUAGGACGUGCGUCUCUAUUUUGUUGGUUUCUAGUGACGCGGUAAUGAUUAAUAGGGACAGUUGGGGGCAUUUGUAUUCGGUUGCUAGAGGUGAAAUUCUUGGAUUUACCGAAGACAAACUUCUGCGAAAGCAUUUGCCAAGGAUGUUUUCA
rnacentral:rRNA from 1 species